rnacentral:rRNA from 1 species
ACGUAGGGACCAAGCGUUGUUCGGAUUUACUGGGCGUAAAGGGCGCGUAGGCGGCGUGGUAAGUCACUUGUGAAAUCUCUGAGCUUAACUCAGAACGGCCAAGUGAUACUGCUGUGCUUGAGUGUGGAAGGGGCAAUCGGAAUUCUUGGUGUAGCGGUGAAAUGCGUAGAUAUCAAGAGGAACACCUGAGGUGAAGGCGGGUUGCUGGGCUGACACUGACGCUGAAGCGCGAAAGCUAGGGGAGCGAACGGGA